rnacentral:lncRNA from 1 species
AGUAUUUUAGAAAUACUAAGGACUGGUGUCUCGAUUAUGAAGAAUCUGACUUAAAACUUAUAAAGUUUGACUCUAAUUUUUAGUUGGACAUAAUAAUAGCAAGAAUGUGUUGGGGUACAUCCUUACCCUAAUGAAUAGAGCAAUCUGCUGGAAAAAGUUUCAAGCAAAAUAAUAUAGCCAAUUCAAUUUGCGAAAUAGAAUGCAUUGCAACAUCCGAUGCUUACAAGGAAGCUAUAUAAUUACAGAGGUUCACUGGCAAGCUAGGAGUGGCAUCCUCCAAUGAUGGUCCUAUUGUAUUGUAUAGCACC